AGGGAAUCUUCGGCAAUGGACGGAAGUCUGACCGAGCAACGCCGCGUGAGUGAAGAAGGUUUUCGGAUCGUAAAACUCUGUUGCCAGAGAAGAAAGCUAAGGAGAGUCACUGCUCUUUGGUUGACGGUAUCUGAGAAGAAAGCCCCGGCUAACUACGUGCCAGCAGCCGCGGUAAUACGUAGGGGGCAAGCGUUGUCCGGAAUUAUUGGGCGUAAAGCGCGCGCAGGCGGCUGAGUAAGUCUGGUGUUUAAACCUGGGGCUCAACCUCGGGUCGCAUUGGAAACUGCUUGGCUGGAGUGCAGGAGAGGAAAGUGGAAUUCCACGUGUAGCGGUGAAAUGCGUAGAGAUGUGGAGGAACACCAGUGGCGAAGGCGACUUUCUGGCCUGUAACUGACGCUGAGGCGCGAAAGCGUGGGGAGCAAAC
rnacentral:rRNA from 1 species